GAUGAACGCUGGCGGCGUGCCUAAUACAUGCAAGUCGAGCGAACGGACGAGAAGCUUGCUUCUCUGAUGUUAGCGGCGGACGGGUGAGUAACACGUGUAUAACCUACCUAUAAGACUGGUAUAACUUCGGGAAACCGGAGCUAAUACCGUAUGAUAUUUUGAACCGCAUGGUUCAAAAGUGGAAUACGGUCUUUCUGUCACUUAUAGCGGGAUCCGCGCUGCAUUAGCUAGUUGUUAAGUUAACGGCUUACCAAGGCAACGAUGCAUAGACGAGCUGAGAGGGUGAUAGGCCACACUGGAACUGAAACGCCGUCAAGACUACUGAGGGAGGCACCAGUAGCGAACCUUACGCAGUAGGCGAAAGUAUGACGGAGCAACGGCAAGUGAGUGGUGACAGUCCUGGGAUCGUAAAAAUCUCUUAUUAGGGAAGAACCUAUGUGUAAGUAAAUGUGCCCAGAUUGACGGUAACUAAUCAGAAAGCAACGGCUAACUACGUG
rnacentral:rRNA from 1 species